CAGACGGGUGAGUAACAUGUGGGUAUCUACCCUUUGGCCUGGAAUAACACGAGGAAACUUGUGCUAAUACCGGAUAAGUCUUUACGGAGAAAGCUUUAUGCACCAUUGGAUGAGCCCGCACUUGAUUAGUUUGUUGGUAGGGUAAUGGCCUACCAAGACUAUGAUCAAUAGCUGAUUUGAGAGGAUGAUCAGCCACAUUGGGACUGAGACACGGCCCAAACUCCUACGGGAGGCAGCAGUGGGGAAUCUUGCACAAUGGAGGAAACUCUGAUGCAGCGAUGCCGCGUGAGUGAAGAAGGCCUUUGGGUUGUAAAGCUCUUUCGUCGGGGAAGAAAAUGACUGUACCCGAAUAAGAAGGUCCGGCU
rnacentral:rRNA from 1 species